AAAUUGAAGAGUUUGAUCAUGGCUCAGAUUGAACGCUGGCGGCAGGCCUAACACAUGCAAGUCGAACGGUAGCACAGAGAGCUUGCUCUCGGGUGACGAGUGGCGGACGGGUGAGUAAUGUCUGGGAAACUGCCUGAUGGAGGGGGAUAACCACUGGAAACGGUAGCUAAUACCGCAUAACGUCGCAAGACCAAAGAGGGGGACCUUCGGGCCUCUUGCCAUCAGAUGUGCCCAGAUGGGAUUAGCUAGUAGGUGGGGUAACGGCUCACCUAGGCGACGAUCCCUAGCUGGUCUGAGAGGAUGACCAGCCACACUGGAACUGAGACACGGUCCAGACUCCUACGGGAGGCAGCAGUGGGGAAUAUUGCACAAUGGGCGCAAGCCUGAUGCAGCCAUGCCGCGUGUAUGAAGAAGGCCUUCGGGUUGUAAAGUACUUUCAGCGGGGAGGAAGGCGAUAAGGUUAAUAACCUUGCCGAUUGACGUUACCCGCAGAAGAAGCACCGGCUAACUCCGUGCCAGCAGC
rnacentral:rRNA from 1 species